rnacentral:rRNA from 1 species
AACAGUAUUAAGGUCCUGCCUGCCCAGUGAAAUUUUUUAACGGCCGCGGUAUUCUAACCGUGCAAAGGUAGCGUAAUCAUUUGUCUUUUAAAUAAAGACUAGUAUGAACGGCUAAAUGAGGACAACCCUGUCUCCUCCCGCCAAUCAGUGAAAUUGAUCUUCUAGUGCAAAAGCUAGAAUAAAAACACAAGACGAGAAGACCCUGUGGAACUUUAAAUAAACCACUAACAACUUCAACACGAACUAACUAGUGCUCUAUUUUGAGUUGGGGCGACUUCGGAACAAAAUAAAACUUCCGAGCACAGAACCACCAGUUCUAACCAAGGCUAACAAGCCAAAGAACAAACAGACCCAGUCAUACUGACUAACGAACCAAGCUACCCCAGGGAUAACAGCGCCAUCUUCUUCAAGAGUCCAUAUCGACAAGAAGGUUUACGACCUCGAUGUUGGAUCAGGACACCCAAAUGGUGCAACCGCUAUUAAAGGUUCGUUUGUUCAACGAUUAAUAGUCCUACGUGAUCUGAGUCAAACCCGGAGAGG